AUUGAACGCUGGCGGCAUGCUUUACACAUGCAAGUCGAACGGCAGCACGGGCUUCGGCCUGGUGGCGAGUGGCGAACGGGUGAGUAAUGCAUCGGAACGUACCGUGUAAUGGGGGAUAACGUAGCGAAAGUUACGCUAAUACCGCAUACGCCCUGAGGGGGAAAGUGGGGGACCGCAAGGCCUCACGUUAUACGAGCGGCCGAUGUCGGAUUAGCUAGUUGGUGGGGUAAAGGCCUACCAAGGCGACGAUCCGUAGCGGGUCUGAGAGGAUGAUCCGCCACACUGGGACUGAGACACGGCCCAGACUCCUACGGGAGGCAGCAGUGGGGAAUUUUGGACAAUGGGCGCAAGCCUGAUCCAGCCAUGCCGCGUGAGUGAAGAAGGCCUUCGGGUUGUAAAGGCUCUUUCUAGGUGGAAAGGAAAAUACGCACUUUCUAAUACAAGUAGUGGAUGACGGUACCAUACAGAAGAAGACACCGGCUAACUACGUGCCAGCAGCCGCGGUAAU
rnacentral:rRNA from 1 species